rnacentral:misc_RNA from 1 species
GAAAGCACCCGACGACCCGACAUUUAUAAAUCGGCAAGCAGGACAGUUUAAAGAUAUGCGAGAGAAGUACCACCGGACAUUUCUGUUUCUCAUUCCAUUUCUAAUAUCUUCAGUACAUUGCCAAUUAUCUUGUCAUCGAAUACCAACUUCAUUUUGUUGUACUUCAAGAAUACGGGAUCAAUGUCCAGAACAGUGUGCUUCAGUCCAAUGUGGCACUGAUUUUAUUCAUAGUUUAUUCUCAACUGAUGGUUCUCGACGGCCGGCACCAAGCGGAGCACACGAUGGGAAUGCAAAUAUUGGAGGAACAGGAAGUGUGGAUAAUUUGAGAUCUGCUUUCGGAUCCGCUGGAGAUUCCGAUCCUUCCAUAACCUCGUUUGAAAAACCCGAUCAAUCUGUCCCAGGAGCUGCCACGUGGAAUUCCAACUCUGGAGAUGCAAGAAUCGGAGCACAGAAAGCAACAACUACUCCAGCUCCAACUGGAUUCCCUACUCUUAUUCCAUUUUCCUCCGAGCCCUGGACCACUGGAACUCAGACUCCACUGGCUCCUGCUGCAAGCUCUGCAGUUCCAGAAAUUCAAGCACCAAGUAGAAUUCCAGGUCCAGAGCUUCCAGUGAGAAUCCCGGCUCCAACGAUGAGCCCAUGGAAUCCAAGUUCUCGAAGGAAUGCUCAUCGACACCGUACAACACCUGAUCCAAGAAUAAUCCGUCCUCCAGAGUCACUCGUAGUUAUUGGAGAUUAUGAUGAAGAUGAACCUCCGUCUGAAAAUGCAGUGGUUGACUCACCUCAACCAUUUGUGACGUCACCUCCUCCAGCUCAACCACUCUUCCCUCAACAGACUCCACCCCCACCUGCAUCACCUCUUAUCAGUAACAGUGGAGAUGUAUUUGCAAGAUCAAGGAAGGAAAUAAGUGGAGCACCGGAUUCGGAGCAACAAUCUGGAAGUGCUGCGACAUUGAGUGGUUCAUCUCACGAAUGGAAGGUGUCUAUAAUUCCACGUGGACAGAAUAAAAAACCGGCAAAUGUGAAGUCAAUUCCACCAUUUACAAUUGAUGGAAAAGCUGAUGAGAGGUUUAAUAAAUUUUAUAGAACAAUUGACAGUGUGAUAAACAAUUUGGAUUUGACAAACGGAGGAAAUUUACACGAAAGGGAGGGUGAACCACAAAUACGAUUAGAGGGAAGCACUGGAAACUCAAAGGAUCUAUCAGUAGAAUCAUCUGCAGCUGUAAUAGUACCCCGUACUACUGUAGCUCCAGGUGUUACUAAUAAAGUCAGUGUAAUACCAUUCCGUCCACUACACUUUACUGCUCCACCGAGAAACGGUCCACCAGGAGUUGCUCCGCCAAAAGGAGCAGCUGGAAAUGAACAAUGUGGUGUUUCUCCUGAUUUUACUCCGUGUGUUAGCAAUGAAAUUGCGAGUAAAUCACUUUUAGAAUGUUGUAAACGAAAGAAUUUACCUGCUGGAUGUCAACAAUUAUGCAGAUAUGAUAUUACACAGACAGAGAUCCGUGCUGCAAUGGACCGUGGACAAUGUGGAAUAUUUAACGUGGCUCCAUUCUUAGAAUGUGCAUCACAGGGAAAAGAUAAUUCAGAGUGUUGUAGGCACAGGGGAAUUGUUCAGAAAACAGGACCCCAAUGUGAGCAAUUCUGUCGUCCGGCUCAAGGACUUUCAUCUCUUGGAGUUCAGCAUAUUGUAUGUGGAAAUGCAGUUGGUGAUAUGCUUCAUUGUCAUCAUUCUGGUGUUCGAAUUUAA